rnacentral:rRNA from 1 species
GACGAACGCUGGCGGCGUGCUUAACACAUGCAAGUCGAACGGUGAAGCGCCUUCCUUUUUGGUGGGUGUGGAUGAGUGGCGAACGGGUGAGUAACACGUGAGUAACCUGCCCCCUUCUCCUGGAUAACCGCAUGAAAGUGUGGCUAAUACGGGAUAUUCUGGGUCUGUCGCAUGAUGGGUCUGGGAAAGAUAUUGUUUCGGUGGGGGAUGGGCUCGCGGCCUAUCAGCUUGUUGGUGGGGUGAUGGCCUACCAAGGCGGUGACGGGUAGCCGGCCUGAGAGGGUGGACGGUCACACUGGGACUGAGACACGGCCCAGACUCCUACGGGAGGCAGCAGUGGGGAAUAUUGCACAAUGGGCGCAAGCCUGAUGCAGCGACGCCGCGUGAGGGAUGGAGGCCUGCGGGUUGUGAACCUCUUUCGCCAGUGAAGCAGGCCUGCCUCGUUUGUGGGUGGGUUGACGGUAGCUGGAUAAGAAGCGCCGGCUAACUACGUG